rnacentral:rRNA from 1 species
CUGCUGCAUGCCUGGGCCGAAGCCGCGGCACUCGCAUGUCAGCCCGGCACCGAGCCUUCUCUUUCAUUGCGCCUUGGGUUUAACACCCAAAACCGCCUACGCAAAACUCCUGGACCCGUCUUGAAACACGGACCAAGGAGUUUAGCGUAUGCGCGAGUCAUUGGGUGUUANAACCCACAGGCGCAAUGAAAGUGAAGGCUCGGUCGCCGGGCUGACAUGCGAGUGCCGCGGCUUCGGCCCAGGCAUGCAGCAUGGUCCCAUUGCAAUCGUUUACGAUACAGUGGAGACAGAGCGUAUGCGCUGAGACCCGAAAGAUGGUGAACUAUUCCUGAGCAGGACGAAGCCAGAGGAAACUCUGGUGGAAGUCCGAAGCGAUUCUGACGUGCAAAUCGAUCGUCUGACUUGGGUAUAGGGGCGAAAGACUAAUCGAACCAUCUAGUAGCUGGUUCCUUCCG